rnacentral:tRNA from 1 species
GAGGGUGUAGCUCAGGGGUAGAGCACAUGCUUAGCAUGCACGAGGUCUUGGGUUCAAUCCCCAGUCCCUCCA